UGUUCAAGCCGGCAGGUGUUGCAUGUGCGGGGUUGUGGGGGCCUUUGGGUUCUGCUGCCGCAGGAUUGGCCAGUGAUAAAUGUUGCGUGAAGGUGAAGCGUCUGGGAAGGCGUACCGGAGUGGGUGAGAGUCCCGUAACUGUAAGCGUGGCACUGGUGAGGGUUGCCCCAAGUAGCGUGGGACUCGUGGAAUUUCGCGUGAAUCUGGCGGGACCACCCGUCAAGCCUAAAUACUCCUUGGUGACCGAUAGUGGAUUAGUACCGUGAGGGAAUGGUGAAAAGUACCCCGGGAGGGGAGUGAAAUAGUACCUGAAACCGGUCGCAUACAAGCCGUCAGAGCCUUGUGGGGUGAUGGCGUGCCUUUUGAAGAAUGAGCCUGCGAGUUAGUGAUGCGUGGCGAGGUUAACCUGUGUGGGGGAGUCGUAGCGAAAGCGAGUCUGAUAAGGGCGUGAGUCGCGUGUUCUAGACCCGAAGCGGUGUGAUCUAUCCAUGGCCAGGAUGAAGCGUCGGUAAGACGUCGUGGAGGUCCGAACCCACUUCAGUUGAAAAUGGAGGGGAUGAGCUGUGGAUAGGGGUGAAAGGCCAAUCAAACACCGU
rnacentral:rRNA from 1 species